rnacentral:lncRNA from 1 species
CGCCGAUAAACGUAUAACCUACCGUAACGUAUCUUUAGGUACAGUCAAAACAUAUUUAUAUGAUUGGAAAUCAUGCCCAAAGUGACUUUAAGCAAAGUUGAUACAUCAAAUUUUAAAAUCCUGCCUUUAACUUUUAUUGCAAUGAAACGAAAAAUAAAAAAAAAAUCUUCUCUUUCUCUUUUUUUCGAUUGUCGCAUAUAAGAAUCCAACCUACGUAACGCGUAUUUUGGAACGCACUAACCAAGAACAAAUCAAAAUGAUGAUUAUUUCAUUGAAAGCACCCAUAAAGCUUCUCAAUAAUCAGUUUUGAGAAAGCAACUCAACAAUAUUGUUACAUAUUUCCAUGUAUAAUGUAAAUAAAACUAACCUCCGUUUAAAUAACCUCCGUGACGCAGUUAUUUACAGUUAAGUUGUCAGACUUUUUUUUAUCAGUAUCAGCGGCUGCCGACACUGCCGAAAGUCAUUUUUGUAGCAGACAUCAUUUAUUAUAAAGAAAACAGAC